UCGAAUUGGCUUAGACUGUGCUGGCUUUCGUGGGCAUGUGCACGUCUAUAUUCAUCCAAUACACCCUGUGCAUCUUUGACUUCGAGCCCUUGGGCGAGAGGUAUUACACACCCUUUGAUUAUGUAUGUGAUAAACGAUGAUGGCGCUUUGCGUCGAUUAAUAAA
rnacentral:misc_RNA from 1 species